rnacentral:rRNA from 1 species
UACGGAGGAUGCAAGCGUUAUCCGGAAUGAUUGGGCGUAAAGCGUCCGCAGGUGGCAAUGUAAGUCUGCUGUUAAAGAGUCUAGCUCAACUAGAUAAGAGCAGUGGAAACUACAUAGCUAGAGUACGUUCGGGGCAGAGGGAAUUCCUGGUGUAGCGGUGGAAUGCGCAGAUAUCAGGAGGAACACCGAUGGCGAGGGCGGCGUUCUGGACUGCAACUGACGCUGAGGCGCGAGAGCCAGGGGAGCAAACGGG